rnacentral:rRNA from 1 species
UUAUGGCUCAGGAUGAACGCUAGCUACAGGCUUAACACAUGCAAGUCGAGGGGCAGCAUGAUCUUAGCUUGCUAAGAUUGAUGGCGACCGGCGCACGGGUGAGUAACGCGUAUCCAACCUUCCCUAUAGUAGGGGAUAGCCCGUAGAAAUGCGGAUUAAUACCCUAUGUUGUAUUUUGAGGACAUCUGACGAAUACCAAAGGUUCACCGCUAUAGGAUGGGGAUGCGUCUGAUUAGGUAGUCGGCGGGGUAACGGCCCACCGAGCCAACGAUCAGUAGGGGUUCUGAGAGGAAGGUCCCCCACAUUGGAACUGAGACACGGUCCAAACUCCUACGGGAGGCAGCAGUGAGGAAUAGUGGUCAAUGGGCGAGAGCCUGAACCAGCCAAGUAGCGUGCCAGGAUGACGGCCCUAUGGGUUGUAAACUGCUUUUAUGCGGGGAUAAAGUGAGGGACGUGUCCCUUAUUGUAGGUACCGCAUGAAUAAGGACCGGCUAAUUCCGUGCCAGCAGCAGC